AACUGAAGACGUCAAGAUUUGGAGUGAAAGAAGAAAAAAUUGAUACUAAAGGAGAAAAUCCCGACAACCUGUGCGCGUUGUGCAAAAGUGAAUGCACGAAAGAUGGAAAUUAUUCUGGUUACAGCGGCGCGUUUAAAUGCUUGAUGGAUGGUGUGGGUGAAGUGGCAUUUGUAAAACAUACAACCGUGAUGAGCGAAGCACCGGCGUCAGCAAGUGAUUACUUAUACCUGUGUUACGAUGGAACCACUGCUGAAAUUGGACAGCACAUUAACUGCCAUCUUGCUAAAGUUCCCUCUCACGCCGUGAUGACCAAAAA